UUUUUCCUCUCAGACUGAGAGUGAGGCAGACAUGCUAAGCGUGUGCUGGAGCUAAAUGUAGCCAUCCACGGAGAAACAUUGUACAGGCAACGCCUUUUCACCAAAUGUCAUUGAAGACAUCCGAGUAAACAGUCAUCUCUACAACUACGACUCAUGUUUUCAUUGGACACGGUUUAACUUGAUGUUGAAACAGAGUUGCUACACUCUGAGUGAGAACAUUACAGACACGCAGCUACAUAGCUUUUUCAUUAGCUCUUGAUGAAAGCACAGACAAUACGGAUACAGCACAGCUAUCCAUUUUUAUUAGAGGCGUCAAGUCGGACCUUUCUGUCACUGAGGAGCUGUUGGAUGUAGCUGCCAUGCAUGGGACCACAACAGGACGGGACAUUUUUGAUGCGGUGGAGAAGUCCGUAAGUAAAAAUGCAUUGCCCUGGGAAAAGUUGGUGGGAUUAACUACAGACAAUGUGUGGAGGAAAAGCGGGCUUUGUUGGUUUAAUGAAGGAGAAAAUGCAAUAAAGUAACUGUCACACGCCUCUGAUAACGUAUCAUUGCAUUAUUCAUCAAGAAGCUUUGUGUGGGAAGGUGCUAGGGAUGAAAAAUAUAGUGACCACAGUCAUGAAAACAGUGAACUUCAUUCGGGCGCAUGGCCUAAAUCAUCGUCAGUUCCAGCUGUUCUUGCAGGAGAUGGGCUCGGAGCACAGCGACGUGCCGUACCAUACAGAAGUACGGUGGCUGAGUAGGAGCAAAGUCCUCAAACGAUUUUUUGAGCUUAGGGAAGAUAUUGCUCUUUUAAUGCAGUGUAAGGAAAAACCCUUGUCUGAACUGUCAGAUCCAAACUGGCUGUGUGACUUUGCUAUGUUGUGUGACAUAACUGAGCAUCUCGCCCAUCUGAAUCAGAAGCUGCAGGGACGCAAACAAGUCAUCCGACAGUGUCACAGAUGUCCGACAUGAACACGGCUUUCCAGCGUAAACUUGAUUUAUGGAUGUACCAAGUGAAACAGGACAAUCUUGCCCACUUUCCUGUUUGUCAGAGCAUCUCAGCCGCAUUUCCUGGUAUUUUUCCAUGUACUCAGCUAGCUACCAAACUGAGCCGGUAAAUGAAUGAGUUUGAUCGGCGCUUCUCUGACUUUAGAGCACAGCACUCAGGCUUUGCCAUCUUUGCCAAUCCUUUCACCACCAACGUCUGCACUGCACCCCAACAUCUUCAGAUGGAGUUAAUAGAGCUUCAAAGCAAUAGCGGCCUGAGAGCAAAGUUCCAGGAUGCUGCAAUCCAGGACUUUUACCGUGAAUUGCCCCCUGGUUUGAUGCCACAGCUUCGACUUCAUGCUGCCCGUGUUCUGUCUAUGUCUGGGAGCACCUAUCUGUCUAUCAUGAAUCUAAACAAGACCAAGCACAGAUCACGCAUCACUGAUGACAACCUCCAUGCCGUUCUACGGAUUGCCUCAGCACAAGACCUAAAACCAGACAUUGACACACUGGCCAUGGAAAAAAGGUGUCAGGUAUCUUGUCAGAAAACACAUAGAACAUGAUCAAUGGAUGAGAAUGGUGGAGAGGGGAUUCAUGUGGUGUGUUAAAGGACAGGCAGCAUCUCCUCAUCAACUUCACCUUAAAACUUGACCAAUACAGUUGUGAACUGAGACAACCCUUGUGUUGUUAUUUUGAGUUUAUUACAUAUACUACGUUAUAUGUGUAGCAAUGUAUUUAGUGUUUACAGGUUUAUGUGUUCAUGCAGACAAAUGUUCACUGUAAUCAAACCAUCUCUUAUUAAUUGGCUGUAUCCCCUUGCAAGGCUGUGUGCAGCCAUUUGUUUGUGUAAAAUGCUACACCUGUCAUACAUGUUCUUAGCAGCUCACAAUUGUUGGUUGGACAGUUAUUCUGCCCCUCUCAACUAUGACAAAAAAGUUUUGAACAAAGUUAAUGUCAUAACUUGUUAUUUAUCCUUAUUCACUUGGAUAGUUUGAUCAUUGAUUGAUGGAGUAAUGUGGGGUUCAUAAGUUGACAAAUUAAAAGGAUUUAUGUUAUAACACAGCAAUAAGCAAACAUUUCUUUUUACAUUUAUGCAAAUAUAUAUGUAAUAUAUAUAUAAAUCAGAUAAACAACGAACAUCACGUAACGGUACCGCCAUACACCAAAAACGUGUCAGUACGCGCAAAUCCGGAUAAGCGGGAGACGACGAAGAUGAAGACGAAGAUUGCUUCAGCAAGCCAAGCCUUCCAAACUGAAUCACACACAGGUGUGUAUAAGGAUUUUUUUUCGUUCUCCUUUUCGACAAAUUCUUUUGUCUAGAAGAUUUUGAGGGGUUUGUGUCGUUUGGCCAACACCAAUUCCUUCCAACUUAUCUGGCAAAGUAAAUUAAAUACUAGCGCUUAUCCCGUCGUCAACCUCCGGCCCUCCGGCUACACGAUUUACCAUGACCGGCUGACCAAAUCUCAAGAGUGCCUACGGAAGAAAGUCUGCUGGCAGACUGUGCCGACGCUGACCCACCGAGACAUCGGCAGAGCCCGUCACCCCUGGCAACGGUCGUCAUCUCUGAGAGAGCCCACUUGGAGCGUGGCGUCCCUGUUGUCUGGCAACAUUACUCCGGGGCUCCAGCCAAGAUCUCAACAGCGCACCGCAACUCAAAGUAGGCAACUCCAUCCUUUGCUCUGAACUGGGUUGAUGUCGGAAUAAUACUAGUUCCGACCUAAUAAUUUCCUACCGUUAAGAAUAAAUACUAUACACAUAGUCAAAUUCAUUCUCUUCCCCCAUCGCCCAAAAUUACUGCUUAGCUGGUAGAAAUAGGGAUUGUUAGUCAUAGAUUCAUGUUCAUUAUCAUUUUUCAUUGUACUCCUCCUGUGUUUAGUUAGUCAAUAAAUAUUAUCAAUGUGACCCAGUGUUUCUUUUUUUGGGGGGCUUUUUUAUGCCUUUAUUUGAUAGUACAGUAGAGAGAAAGGAAAUGGGGAGGCUGAGAGAGGGGAAUGACAUGCAGCAAAGGCCACCCGAUGUCAAACUCGAACUUGGACAGGACCCAAAUGCAUGACUCAAAAAGUUCAACAAAAUGAUAUUUAUUAACAAAGUACAAAAGAAAAUCACUCUUAAGAGGAAACAACAAAGUAACAAACAAUAACGUGACUAAGCACAAAGUAUCAAAGUAACAAACUAGAGACAAAAAGAAAAUCACUCUGAGAGGAAAAAAGGCAAACGCCAGAAAACCAAAAAUCACUCUUAUGAGGAAAAAACUAAACCAAGCAACAAGGAACAAGACCAGAGGGAACAAUGACAUGAAGCGUGGGGCCGGGAGAUUCACGGAUAUGGAACAAGACGAACUGGCACAGGACAAAGGGAAACGCAGACAGAUAUACAUGAGGUAAUGGGGAACAGGUGGAAACAAUCAGGGCGGGGAAGACAAUCAGACCAACGGGAGACACCAGGAGGAAGGGCAAGUUACCUGAAACGAAAGGAGAGUCAAAUGUCAAAAUAAAACAGGAAGUGAUGACAACAUAGACACAAGACAGAAAACUAAACACAACCAGACACAGAUCAUGACACCUGAUGCAGGACUCAAACCGGGGCCAACUGCAGCGAGGACUGUAGCCUCUACACAUGGGACGCCUGCUUAGACCACUACGCCACAUGACGCCCUUGCCCUUUUUUUUCCUUGAAGUCAAGAUCGGAGAUCACUGUAAUUGAGAAAUCACAACUUUGGAUGUGAGACUGAUCAAAAAUGAAUCAUUGUCAAUCAAAUUGUCCUCCCUGAUGACUAGUGCCCCUUUCUUUAACGAGAGCAAAUUUUAAAUUGUCAUAUUCACGCUACACAUAUCUCAUGCCUAGUGUCAAUGAGCUAAUUGAAAGACUUUGCAAUGCCCGUUUCAUAACCACCCUUGAUCUCACAAAGUGGUAUUGGCAGGUUCCCUUGUCUGCAGCAGCAAAGGAGAAGACAGCCUUUGCCACUCCCGGGGCCUGUGGCAGUACUUAGUGAUGUCCUUUGGGCUGUCUGGAGCUCCCGCCACCUUCCAGCACUUGAUGGAUGAGGUACUUAA